GAUGUAGCCAAGUGGAUCAAGGCAGUGGAUUGUGAAUCCACCAUUCGCGGGUUCAAUUCCCGUCGUU
rnacentral:tRNA from 1 species